rnacentral:lncRNA from 1 species
CGGGCAGCUGCUCCUGGGGUAGGUGGCGGUGGACCGACUAAGGCCCAGAAUCUGCCGGGCCAGUUCCUGAUUCCUGCUUCCUCCUCCGUGGUUUCAGUUGCCCUAGGCCGCGGGGCGGGUCCACUAUAGGGAAGAGAGAGCACAGCCCACCCCCCCAUCCUGCUCCCCACUCUGCGUGCCCUGGGCCACAGCCUACAGCGACAGCUCAGCCACGGAAACGGAAGGGAGGAGGAGGCCGGCAAAGAAUGGCCAUGCGAAGAGUGGCCUGUGAACCAGGCACUCUCCAGGGUCCCGCGAACGCGGGGGAAGGAACCCAAAAUGCAGUGGGGAUGGACUCAAGGCACCCCAGGAUCUUUGUAUGGGAAGGUAGACACCCCCAGUACACCGGGCCUUUCCACAUCAGCCAGUAUCAAAAUGCUCCACCGACUUGCCCACAGGCCAAUCCAAUGGAGGCAACUUCUCAACUGAAGCUUCUCUUC